CGCCGGCUGGCAGAAGGGCGCGCGCUGAUUGGCUGGCUGCAGGGGAAGGGGCGGGGCACGCAGAGGAAGUCCCGGCGGCCGCCAGGCACUCGAGCAGCUGGAAGGAAAAGGGGCGGCCCUGAACGCCCGAAUGGGAGAGGGAGGAAGAUACCAGGAAAUGCUGCCAGCCUUUAACUAACUAUCCUUCUUUCCCCUCCGUGCACCUCCCUCCCCCGCCCUCCUCCUCUUCUGGACAGUCCAGCUCUGUUGUCGACUGGGGAGAUUGCUGGGCUCCAGAGCCGAAUCGACCGGGGGAGAGCCCAGAUUCAAGCUCUGCAACAGGAGAAAAAGAAACUGCUUGAGCAGCUGAAGGGGGCAUUGAAUGAAUAUUAGAAUGAAUACAUUCCCUAUAAUUUGAAGUCCAAAUAAAUGAUUUAGUCACUUGUUUGUCA